rnacentral:rRNA from 1 species
UACGUAGGGGGCAAGCGUUGUCCGGAUUUAUUGGGCGUAAAGAGCGUGUAGGCGGCUGGGUAGGUCCGUUGUGAAAACUCGAGGCUCAACCUCGAGACGCCGAUGGAAACCCUCUGGCUAGAGUCCGGAAGAGGAGAGUGGAAUUCCUGGUGUAGCGGUGAAAUGCGCAGAUAUCAGGAAGAACACCCAUUGCGAAGGCAGCUUACUACGGGAUUAUUGACACUGAUGCACGAAAGCGUGGGGAUCAAACAGG